UAAAACUCCAACCUUCGUAAUGAAAUCACGUUUUCCCUUUUAUUUUAUUAGGAGAAAAAUAUUUCAUUUAUCUUAAAUGUAAUAUUGUAAUUUUACUCAGUUACUGUAACUCAGUACUUUUACUCUGCUUUUCUAGUCUAUUCACUGACAUCUUAAUCCUGUGUUCUCCUGAGCUUGAACCUGAACGUCAGACCAACCAUCGACUGCAGGAGACAUGAGCCUCAGACCAUCUCACCGUCACUAUCUUCAUCAUCAUCAUCAUCAUCAUCAUCAUCAUCAGCCCAGAGCACUACCACAGCUGAGUCUGGACAGGACGUAGUUCUACCAUGUCGAGUAUCACCAGACAAAACCAUCAGAGCUGUGAAGUGGAGCAGAGCUGACCUGGGAGAUGAAUAUGUGCUUCUGUUCCGGGAUGAGCAGCUGGAUCCAGAAGAGCAGCAUCCAUCUUUUAAGAACCGGGUGGAUCUGCAGGACAGACAGAUGAAGGAUGGAGACGUAUCUUUGAUUCUGAAGAAUGUGACGACUGCUGAUGGUGGAUCAUACAAUUGUGAUAUUUUCAACGGAGUGACAGAUUCAUGGGAGAUCAUCAACACUGUCAGCCUGACUGUUUCAGGUCAGACAGCAGAACUCACAGUUGCACCUGUUGGACUCAUCGUUGGUCUGAGUGUUCCUGCUGUGCUUCUUGUUGCUGCUGUUGUUGGUUUUGUGAUCUACAGAAAACAUAAACAACAGAACCGGGAUUUUAACUAGCAUCCUCAUGAACAGCAGGUUUCAAAUGUCUCUACGGUUUAGUAUGUGUAAACUAACAAAACACUAAACUUACAAAACAACACUGGUUUAAAAACUAAUUGUUUAAUUUAAUCCUGGAUCACACUACAUGACAUCACUACAGAGUUCAGACAAAUGAUGCAUCAUUUACCCGAAUCGCUAUAAUUGAGAAAAAUCCUGGAAAAAAAAUAUUAGGACAUAAUAAUUGACAAGUUUCACCUGCUCUAUGUGUAACUCAAUGACCUCUAACACCUGAAAUAUUUUAUUGUAUGAAGGUAAAAUAUUGUGUACCUCUAAUGUUCAUCAUCUAUCCAGAUCUAUCACAGUGACAUGGAACCGCCCACCGUAUUAUAAAUCCUUUCCAUUUAAUGUAUUUAAAAGGUGGAGGUGUUGCUCUUCCAUCACUGUCACUGGCAGAUCUGAAUGAAUACUGACCUUAAAAGUGAAGAUGAACCCUGUUUGAAUGACAGCAUGUUGUUUACCAGUUCAUUAAUAUUAGUGAAUGACUCUGGGGCAGGGAUGUCAAAUUGGUUUUACAUCGUGGGCCACAUUAAACUCCCCUCGAUGUAAAGUAGUUUAAAUUCACAUUUAAUCUGACAUAUCUCAGUGUAAGAAAGAGAAGUGCAACUUUACCAGCACCUCUGAAGUUUCUCUAAUAAAUUUCUGUACUAGAUGGUGAAAAAACAGGAGCUUUCUGUAACUUAACAGCCUGUUUAUUGUUUAUUUACUUUGGUGUCGUAUGAAUCACCUUUGAUGAGGUCGUCAGCUGAAAAGCAGCAAAGCUGCAUUUUCCAAAGCCACCCAGUGGGGAUAUUGGAACAUGUUUGUUCCCCAAUAGCAGCUAAGUUUAUUAUUUAUUCAUUAUAAUAGAAACAUUAUAGCAGGUUAUGAUAUGGAUGUGUUACUCAGAGAAUUGAAUUUGUAACCUCUGACCUUUGUGAAGCUUUUCAGCUUAAAAUGCCAGAACGACCAGACACUAAAGACAAACCCACUGCAUAAAGGAAACUUUACUACACUAUGUAAGGAGCAGAAGACACUAAAAUACUAAAUUAAAACUAAAACAUUUUCAUGCUAUAACAUAAAAACUGGCGUCAUGCAUGUCAGCUGAUCCUUUUAUCAUUUUUAGUUUGUCAUAGAGACAAAAAGUGAGGGAGCAUUUAGAGCAGAACAUCCUAACAGGAAGUUCAACUCUGUGGUUUUACAGUUACGCUGUGUUCAGCUGUGAAUAGUUCAAAGCAAAGGAGGAGUGAUGUCAGUGUAGCUUAGAGGAAGUCUGAAAUAGAGUCGACAGCCAGGAUCACAAACACUACACAGUUUCUGAUUCCAUCCUUUUCCUGUAAGUAACUAGUUAAUGUAACUCUUCUUUCUAGGUAACAAUUUGAUGUCAAACGUGACUCGUGUGAGCAAAGUAAAGGCUUUUCAAACUAUUUUCUAUCCAUCUGUACAUCUAGUGGCUCUAAGCACUCACUGCAGCUGUUCGUAACUUCAAACAUUAAAAAAUGCAUUUAUUACACAUCACUACACUAACAGACUAACUAAAGAGAUGAGUGGUGAUCCUCUCAGCAGACUGAGGGGUGAACACAUUAAACCAGGUCAAAUAUCCACGUUCAUGUUUAAAUAAUGCAGAACUUUGGUGCAAACAGCAGUAACAUCAGUGACGAUGGUGAAACAACAGGAAGUAAACAAACCACUAAAUGGGACCAGUGAGGAAGUGUCAGUACAAUAAAAAAGAUGCAGAAAAGAAACGAUGGAGUAAAAAAACUAUUUUAAAAGGAAAACACAAGAAGUCUGAUGUGUUUUGUUCUUUCAGGUCUGGAGAUCAUACACAUGGAUAGAUUUUUUUUUAAUCUAAAGAUAUUUACUUUGUACACAGGAACAUGUGAGAUAUGAAAAAUGUUCAAAGUAAAUAGUUUUGACUCAUUUUUGUUGAUUGAUUUAUGACUGACUGCUGCAGUCUGGAGCAUGAAUGUGAUUUUUGUUUAUAUGUAUGAUAUACUGGAAUGUUCGCUUGUUAAUGCUUUUCUGCAAUGUGCUGCACUACAGAAAUAAAAGUAAUAUUUGAAAAUCAU
ensembl:lncRNA